CUUCUCCUUGUCUACUCUCCUCCCUCUCCUUGUCUACUCUCCUCCCUCUCCUCGUCUACUCCCUCUCCUCGUCUACUCUCCUCCCACUCCCCGUUGACCCUCCUCCCUCACCUCGUUUACUCUGAUCUGAAAACACAAGACCGGUGAAACCAACAGCAAAAUAUAAUCAUAUUCAGAUCUGUUGUAAAAUGCACAAUAAACUGUAGAUUCAUUAAUUAGCUUGGAAGAAUGCCAGGAGAUUGACUUUAGUCUCUUGUACUUUCAUAGGUGUGCAGAUGGAGUGGAGACGAGGACAGGAAGCCACUGUAGACUAUUGAGAUGCAGCCUUGUUUAGUUCAUAGGUGUGCAGAUGGAGGGGGGGACGAGAACAGGAAGCUACUGUAGACUAUUGAGAUGCAGCCUUGUUUAGUUCAUAGGUGUGCAGAUGGAGUGGAGACGAGGACAGGAAGCCACAGUAGACUAUUGAGAUGCAGCCUUGUUUUAAUUUAAAUGUUAUUUUCACUCGUCCUCUGGCUGGUUCAGAUGACUAUCUUACUUUUGGAAUCUGAAGUAUUUAUAUAUCUGCACAAUGUGGGGGGAGAGAAAACAAACGAUCAAAUCUAAUCUUUAUGUGCAUGUCUUUUUCUGUUGUUUCUCUAGUUUUGGCUUGUUGUGGGUAUCGUAGAUUCAUUUUUUCAUGUUUGUCAUCGUGGUUUAGAUCUGUCUUUACAGUCUGGAGGGAUUACUGUGUGGUGGGUACUUUUAAACACCUGUUUCUCUCUGAUAAUAAUAAACCUUAUUGUGGGGA